UACUGAAAUUAGGAAGAGAUGGUUUCACACCUAGGUUUCCUGCACAGUAGCUGUAACUCCUGGGCAAGUUCAUGAAUCACUUUCAGCUUCUGUUUACUUAACUGUGAAAUGGGGAGAAUGAGUGCCUACCAAAUAAACUGAUUGUGAGGAUUGGUACACAAAAGUAUAUAAAGUACUUAGCAUGGUGCCUGGCGUGAAGUAAGUGCUCAAUAAAUGUUAGCCAUUUUUAAGUGUUCAAUAAAUGCUACUUCCUUUUCCUUUGUAAAUUUAGCCCCCAGCCUUUAAAAAUAAACAAGUGGGUAUACAUCUUGAGCAUGAACUUUGAGAAGUUUGAGUUAAGGUCCAUUAAAUACUUUUACAUAUACAGAUAUUUACUGAGUGUAUACUCUGUAGGGAGAAAUAUCAAACCCUAUGGAGCUCAAAACCUAACUGAGUGGCAAGCCAUUAGGCAAAUGAUUUGAAAACAGUUUGUCACCAGAGCCAAAACAAUCCAUUGCAAAUUGAACAGCUGCUUCAACAACUCAAUUCUACAUCCGUUUAUUAAGCACUUAUUAAAGGCCACGCAUAAAGAUGAGCAAAACCUCCAGGAGCUUAUAGUCUGUAGCAGUAUUAUUAAUAAUACAAUGACGAUGAUGAUGAUGAUGAUGAUGAUGACAUGAUGAUGUUGGUGAUGAUGAUGGUGGUGGUGAUGACAAUUGUAAUGACAGUGGCAACACCUCAACAACAAUAAUAGCUAAGAUGUAUAAAGAGCUUACUAUAAGACAGACAUUGGCUAAGGGCUUUGCACGAAUUGUCUUGUUUAAUUCUCAUAAGAAUCUUUUGAAAUAAGUAAUCUCAUUCUCUUAUGGGUAAAGAAAAGGAAGCUCAGAGAGUUGUAAUUUGCCCAAUGCCACACAGCUUCUAAGUAGCACUGUUAAAUCUCAAACUCAAGUCUGACUAGUGUUAAAGACCUUGUACCCAGCUGCUGAGAGUGCCCCUCCAUUAUAAUGGACCAGUUGUAAUGGAGGAAAGAGCUAUGUGAAUGUGGUUGAGGGCAAAGUGUGCUGGGGGAGAGGAGUGGAGAAUCCUGAGUGUGACGGAGGUGAUGGCUGAAGUCAUCCGAGCUAUGGCGUCUUUGGCAUUGGGUCAUAAGGGAUAAGCAGGAGGUCAAUAGUAAAGGAUGAGAAAAGAGGAAUCCAGAUGACCAAUACAAAGGGGCCUCUGAACUUUAGGUAUGGUUGGAAACAAAAAUCAGGUGGUAUGGUAGGAUGGGGAGUUCUUGGGAGAGCUUCCAAGUAAAGCCCAGGUGGGUAUAUAGCCUGGGGGUCUUUGGAAGCUGAACUUGUGAGAGGCAGCACAAAGGCUAGGAGGCUUCAUGUUACUUGUUUUAUUUUGUCAGCUUAAGUAAAUUCUUUUGGGAUCCAUAGGGAAAGAUAUUUUUUCAUUUUGAUUUUUGGAGCUUCACAUGUUUGACCUGGGAGCCAGGAGAAUUCGGUUUUAUUGAAAAGGCAAAACCAUAAUGGGCUUUGAAGACCCUAGUUUUGGAUCCCAUUGCUAUCUCUUACUGGUUAUAUGGCUUUGGAUGUAUUAGUUAAUACUGCAGAGCCUCAGUUCUCUCCUCCACAAAAUGGGGUUUGUUGACAGACUUGGACAGAUUAAUAAAGAUAAAGCAUUUAGAACAGUGCCUGGUUACAAAACAAGCCCUCCUAAAAUAGCAUUAGAUUAUUGGCCAUGGGUCAACUACCAAUUGGCCACACAACCUUCUCUACCUGAGCCUCAAAAUCCUUAUCAAUUAAUGAAGGGAUAGAAUACUACUUCUAUGGCCCCUCCCCAACUAAAAGGGAUUCAUUCCAAAUGGCUCCUUUGGUGAAGAAUAAGAACAAGAAAACCUUAUAGCUUUCCUUUUCUGAUAAAAACAAAGAAUAGAGUAAUUCAGGAGCACCAAUCUAUGUGUGCAGCAUGAGUCCUGUCUGAGAGAGCCUUCUCAGAGCUGACAAUAUUAGCAAGACCGAUGGCCUCAUCAUUGGUCAGCCUCCACGUUGUCAAUGGAGAGAUACAAAAGGCCUUGUCUGGUUAGAUAAUUGAAACAACCUGUCAAUUCUAGAGACCUCAUUACGUUAGCUUGUUCAUCAGUUUUUUUUGUUUUUUUUUUUUAUGACCCAGGGAUCUUAACAUUAUUUAAGCAUUUUGAUCAAGAUACAGUUUUGCCUUUACCAAGUCUCUUGCCUGCUAGGCUGGCUGCAGGGUCAGCUGUGAAUGAUUCAUCGCCUGCUACUUGUCCACAUCCCCAUCUCCUGUGCUCUCAUUCCAUAGCUGGCAUGUUUGUCAGGCAGGCUGUGUGGUUCCUGUGUGCUAUGUCUGAGGCACAUCCUGCCACGAAGAGGCUGCCUCCCAGGAGACGCACACAGGAUCAGUGUAUCUAAUUCAUCCAGUGGAUAUUUAGCUCAUUAAACACCAAUAGAUUCAAACAGAAAAAUGGAACCAUGCACAUCAUUAAAGCUAAAUACGUUUCCUUCCUUUGUCUUAGUUUUAUUUUCUGAAGGGGAAUGUAAGGAGCUCUGCAUACCGACAGGCUCAUUGCUGGAGCCGGGGUGAGAAGCUGAAAGCAUCCAGGCAGAGAGAUAAAAGGAGAUUGGCUCCAAGCAAUAUCCCUCCUUGCAGGAAGAGCUGGUGGAAGAGGUGCCCUUCUCCUUCUCCUGGAUGGUGUGCACUGGAGCUACAAGGUUGAAAUUGGUGCAGCUUUUUGGCUUCCUUGAUGAGGGUCAUCUUGAGGCUGAUGAUGGCAUGCAAAGGAGGCCAGCAUGGAGAAAAUCAGGUCUGGCUCCCCGAUAACUGUGUGAAUCUCUGGAAGAAACCACAAGUGAAGCCAGAACCACUUCAGGAUUCUUCAGUUAUGAUUAUGGAGAAGAACAAAUGAGCCAGCCUGGAGCACAGAGUCCGGCCCAUGGACAUGCAAUAAUCAGCCAGAAUGCUGGUUUCAGGAGCCUUCAUGCAAGCACUAAAUCCACCUAAUUGCUUUGAAAAGCAUGGGGUAGAUAAAUAUCCCAUCAGCCCACCGCUGUAAUAACGCCAGUGACAUUUAUGCCUGAGAUGAAGAAUGCAGGAUGAACGGUGAUCAGACCCCAGGUACCCUGCAGUGAUUGACAGCCCAGACAAGGCACCCCCCUGAGCCAGGAAAUGCCAGCCUCUGGGUGGGGUGAGGGCUGGGGGGUGCAGUAAGCGGGGAUGAAUGUCACGUGGGGCUUCUGGAAGUAGAUCAGGUUUGUCCAGGAUAUGAAGUGGAAAGAAGGCUGUCUGGGCAAGUUACAUAACCUCUCCAAACCUCUGGAUUAUGUCUGUGAGAGGAACACCAUGAUGCUUUGGGCACAAAAUAAAUGAGAGGAAUAAAUGAAGAACCUAGCACUAUUCCUGCAGAGCUGUCAGAGCUCCAACGCGUUCAUAUUUUUCCUUUCUCCUGGAAUCGCCUCUUUCUUUGCUCUCAAGAGUCCAAGACCUGUGCAUGCCCCAUUCACAAACCCAGGAGUGCACUCCACUCAUCUGUUCAUUCGUUAAUACUAUUUUUCAUUCUUUCACUAAUUAUGUUUCAGUCACCCAAAAUGUGCCAGAUUCUAACCUGGGAUGCACAUACAAAAAAUAAUCAGACCUUUUGCCUGCCCUUGAGUUGUUCAGAGGUUAACGGCGGACAGCGCAUUGUCUCAGAUAGGGUCCCAACAAGGAAAAGAUGGCACACUCAGGUAAAGAUAAUCCAAGGAGAGUUUAUUCACAAAGGGAUUAAUUAUAAAGGGAUGAGUGCAGUCACCAGCAGCAAGGCUGUCACCACCCCCAGGGCCAACGGGAAGGAAGAGACCCAAUCUAGCAGGAAAGAGCUGCGCACAGCAGUCCACCUUCAGAGGAGCAGUAACCUUCUGUCCAGGGACACAGGCAGCCCAAGGUAACCUCCCAGGAAGGGAGCCCCAUGGCUCCUCCGUCUCUCGAAACUUCUCUUAUGCUCCACAUUAGCUGACAUGAUCAGAAGCUCAAGGGCAAUGAGCUCGUUGAUUCAGUCCACAGCCCUGCCUUUCUCACCACCACCUGGACCCCCGAGAUAUUCUUUCCCCUUCCUCUUUGCGUGGCCAACUCUUAGCUGACCUUAUGACAUCAUGACCUACUGAAACAUUCAGAAAGAUGUAGAGAAGAAAAAUCAGACACUCAUGUACCCACUGCCUGUACUUAAUAAAUGUGAAGGU